CCUACGGGAGGCAGCAGUGAGGCAUAUUGGUCAAUGGACGAGAGUCUGAACCAGCCAAGUAGCGUGAAGGAUGACUGCCCUAUGGGUUGUAAACUUCUUUUAUAAAGGAAUAAAACGAGGCACGUGUGCCUUUUUGCAUGUACUUUAUGAAUAAGGAUCGGCUAACUCCGUGCCAGCCGCCGCGGUAAUACGGAGGAUCCGAGCGUUAUCCGGAUUUAUUGGGUUUAAAGGGAGCGUAGAUGGGUUGUUAAGUCAGUUGUGAAAGUUUGCGGCUCAACCGUAAAAUUGCAAUUGAUACUGGCAGUCUUGAGUACAGUUGAGGUAGGCGGAAUUCGUGGUGUAGCGGUGAAAUGCUUAGAUAUCACGAAGAACCCCGAUUGCGAAGGCAGCUUACUAAACUGUGACUGACAUUGAUGCUCGAAAGUGUGGGUAUCAAACAGGAUUAGAUACCCUGGUAGUC
rnacentral:rRNA from 1 species